rnacentral:rRNA from 1 species
GACAGAGGGUGCAAACGUUGUUCGGAAUUACUGGGCGUAAAGCGCGUGUAGGCUGCUUCGCAAGUCGGAUGUGAAAGCCCUGGGCUCAACCCAGGAAGUGCAUUCGAAACUGCCAUGACUAGAGUUCGGUAGGGGAAUGUGGAAUACCUGGUGGAGCGGUGAAAUGCGCAGAUAUCAGGUGGAACACCCGUAGCGAAGGCGGCAUUCUGGGCCGAUACUGACGCUGAGGAGCGAAAGCCAGGGGAGCGAACGGGG